AGAGUUUGAUCCUGGCUCAGAUUGAACGCUGGCGGCAUGCUUUACACAUGCAAGUCGAACGGUAACAGGGAAAAGCUUGCUUUUCUGCUGACGAGUGGCGAACGGGUGAGUAAUACAUCGGAACGUGCCCUGUAGUGGGGGAUAACUACUCGAAAGAGUGGCUAAUACCGCAUACAACCUGAGGGUAAAAGUGGGGGACCGCAAGGCCUCACGCUAUAGGAGCGGCCGAUGGAAGAUUAGGUAGUUGGUAGGGUAAAGGCCUACCAAGCCGACGAUCUUUAGCGGGUCUGAGAGGACGAUCCGCCACACUGGGACUGAGACACGGCCCAGACUCCUACGGGAGGCAGCAGUGGGGAAUUUUGGACAAUGGGCGAAAGCCUGAUCCAGCAAUGCCGCGUGCAGGAUGAAGGCCUUCGGGUUGUAAACUGCUUUUGUACGGAACGAAAAGUCUCUGGUUAAUACCUGGGGACCAUGACGGUACCGUAAGAAUAAGCACCGGCUAACUACGUGCCAGCAGCCGCGGUAAUA
rnacentral:rRNA from 1 species